GUUAAGGGCAUCUUUUGGUACCUCUAAAAAUGGUGCAGAAUAAGGGGUGGGCAAGUCUGGUGUCAGCCGCCGCGGUAAUACCAGCACCCCGAGUGGUCGGGACGAUUAUUGGGCCUAAAGCAUCCGUAGCUUGUCCUGCAAGUCUUCCGUUAAAUCCACCUGCUCAACAGAUGGGCUGCGGAGGAUACUACAGGGCUAGGAGGCGGGAGAGGCAAGCGGUACUCAGUGGGUAGGGGUAAAAUCCUCUGAUCCACUGAAGACCACCAGUGGCGAAGGCGGCCUGCCAGAACGCGCUCGACGGUGAGGGAUGAAAGCUGGGGGAGCAAACCGGAUUAGAUACCCGGGUAGUCCCAGCUGUAAACGAUGCAGACUCGGUGAUGGGUUGGCUUCGAGCCAACCCAGUGCCGCAGGGAAGCCGUUAAGUCUGCCGCCUGGGGAGUACGGUCGCAAGACUGAA
rnacentral:rRNA from 1 species